rnacentral:ncRNA from 2 species
GACAACCCACGCGGGAGUGCACACCGAGUGCGCUGAGAGGACGGCUGAGCGGCCGUCGACCGUAUGAACCUGACCGGGUAAUGCCGGCGUAGGGAGUGAAACUGAUGACCGA